rnacentral:lncRNA from 1 species
UACAACUUUGCUCUAGGCAUUGUUUUUUUAUAAAUGUUAUAAAAUGUACUUUUUAAGUAACAUAUAGCUAAAGGUACAACUUUUACAAUGUUUCCAUCUUACAAAUUAUGGCAGACAUGAGUUCACAAUUACAAAAUCUUUGAAAAGAAGAAAGAAUGCUUUAAGUUUAAUAUAAAUGAAAAGAAUCUCAAUAAAUGUCAUCAGCCUGGGAAAGAAAGCCAAAUUACUCCUAAGUCUGAAUAUGGCUAACUUAAUUAAAACUCAAUUAACAUUGUUAUUGUGUAACUAAUGGCUUGAAAAUGGUAAUGUCAUAAGUCAUCAAUUAUAGAUUAGUGUAAAAGAGAGUAGGUACCACAGCCUAGAAUGUCAAACUAAGCCUCGGGGUGCCUUUAAAAAAUACAUUUGUCUGAAUUAUAUUUGUCAGAUUAUAGCAUGGCACUGUAUUUGAUUAAAACUGACAAACAUAAUAUAACUAAUGAUUUUUUUUUUUUUUUUUUGCCAAACUGUUUGUAGAGUGCUAAUGUGAAUUAAGGACUUUUAUCAAUAUGUAUUCUUUUAAUAAGUUAAUUUCUUUACCUGAAAUUUUUACCUUAAAUUGAUUAAAAUCUUUACCUUAAAUUGAUAAGGAGAUAAUAUCAGCUAAAAAGUCCUCAAUUAUAAUAAAUAACAAUAAAGUAUUUUUUAACUUAUGAACAUUUUAAAAAUUAAAUAAUAAAUUUUCUUCAUUUUCAUCCUAUACAUGAAAUGGCUAUAUUUUAUAUACUUAAGAAAAUUAUUUAUAUAUUCUGACAUGACACUUAAUUUGGCUUAUUCCAAUGAACAUUUGAGAUAGCUUUUCAUGGUUCAAAGUCUGCUAUUCUCAUUCCAAAUUUGUUUCUUUUCAUUCUCCAUUGUUUUGUGUUUUACAUUUGUGUCUCUUGUAGGAAUGUUCUUUUCUAAAAAUAUUCAAUCUGUCUAUUUGACAUUUCAACAUUUUAAUUUACACAAAUUUUCAUUUCUUCUAUAAACUAUCAGUUUAAAGGAGUAUUUAUUAACUUAUUUAGAUGUGAAUUUCCCUAGUGUUCCAUGCCAUGAAAGUAUAAAGUCUUAGCUUGAAGUGAUACAUUUAAAUAUAUUGCUUAAAAUUCAUAAUAAUACAAAAUUGCCUAUUCUAUAUAACUCUUUAUGAGAGAUGUUGAAAUGCAAUAAUGAUGACAUUAAUUUACAUAUGUGAAAAUAUCCCCAAACUGUUCUUGUAGAUACUACAUGCAAUUUGCUUAGAAGAAAAUAUUCUUAUGUUCGUGCUGGUACAAGGGGCAGUACCAAGAUUCAGGAGUUUGAGGCAGGAGAAUGAAAAGUUCAAAUCUAGAGUAACACUUUAAAAAAUCAGACAAUCACCCAUCAAACAGAAAUAGAAACUAAUAAUGUUUUCCUGUUUAAAGUUGAAAAUUCACUUGAUACAAUCAGAAUAUUCAUUCUUUUAUAUAAAACAAACCAAUUUAUAUCAAGAGUGUUCUGUUAAAUUGCCUUAAUUUUUCGUUUUCACUAUCAUUUCUCUGAGAGCCUAAGUUAGUUUGAUUGUUUACUUAAGGUUGAUGCAUUUGGGCUAAGAGGCUUCCUGGUGAAGCCACAUAGCUGUAUAAGAUGGAUGGCCCUGCGGCUCCGGAAAUCUCAGCUGGGAACAGUCACUUGAAGAAUCUUUAUGGUAAUAAACAGACAAUUCUAGAGGAACAUACUGUGAAGCAAAUUCCAAAGUGAUUUUUCUGGGAAGGUGUUUAGACCCCUUGAAAGAGUUUCCCCUAGAAUUCACAGGCAAUUCCAAAUGCAAAUACUCCACUUGAGACAACAGAACACCUGUUGCUCUCCUUGAUUAUGUCUUUAGGCCUCCUUUUCAAGUAAAUGAGAGAAAGGAAGAAGAAAAAAGAUGUUCUUUUGAUGAGUUAGUUCCUCAGAGGAUUAAACCCAGGGCGAAAUGCUCAGUGGUACCCAUCUAUAAUGCCUUCCUUGCCUUGAGUAAUUACAAAGCACUUAGCAUUAUUGGGUGAUAAGGGAAGUUACAAUAUGUUUCCUGCCUUCCACAGAACACUUAACAGAGAACUGGUUUGUGGUUUCUUUAGGAAAGUGUCUAUUGUACCUCUAUUGAGCUAAUUAUUAUUUUUAUUUUGGUGGGGUUUGUUUUUGGGGGAAAGGGUUCAUUUUGUUUGUUUUGUUUGUUUUGCUAUGUGCUUCUAGUAGUACAUAUACCACAAGAAAUAUAUUUUCGGAUAAGUUUGCCUGUCAAUUAAUCAGAUUUAGAAGAAAAACCCAUGUCUACUUAUGUCAACAAGUGCUCAUCAAUCAGAUUUUAUUAUAUAGAAUUUACAAAGAUCACUGUGCCUUUUUCUUCU